rnacentral:lncRNA from 1 species
CGACAGCCGGGAGGGGAGGCAGGGCCCAGGACGCGAGGUGGCGACAAGUCGCUUUUGGCCCCAGGGGCUGUGGGGUCACCUUCUCCUCUCUCCUGCCACCCCAAGGCAUCUGCACUGUGUGUUAUGCAAUGAGAGAGCACCUUGGCCUGGACCUCAAGAGACCCACGUUUAGUUCUGCCUCUGUCAUGGCCUAGAGCAGUGGCCUCAGGUAAGUCAACUCACCUCUGUGGAGCUGGAGCCUCCUCUC